GACGAACGCUGGCGGCGUGCUUAACACAUGCAAGUCGAACGGAAAGGCCCUGCUUUUGUGGGGUGCUCGAGUGGCGAACGGGUGAGUAACACGUGAGUAACCUGCCCUUGACUUUGGGAUAACUUCAGGAAACUGGGGCUAAUACCGGAUAGGAGCUCCUGCUGCAUGGUGUGGGUUGGAAAGUUUCGGCGGUUGGGGAUGGACUCGCGGCUUAUCAGCUUGUUGGUGGGGUAGUGGCUUACCAAGGCUUUGACGGGUAGCCGGCCUGAGAGGGUGACCGGCCACAUUGGGACUGAGAUACGGCGCAGACUCCUACGGGAGGCAGCAGUGGGGAAUAUUGCACAAUGGGCGGAAGCCUGAUGCAGCAACGCCGCGUGCGGGAUGACGGCCUUCGGGUUGUAAACCGCUUUCGCCUGUGACGAAGCGUGAGUGACGGUAAUGGGUAAAGAAGCACCGGCUAACUACGUG
rnacentral:rRNA from 1 species